AGGCGAUGAAUUUAACUACUCAACUUCUAGAACAGCGUAGUGGGCAGACUAGACGUUUUAUUAAUUUAUAAAUCACUCAUUGUAGAUUUGCUUCUCGUUUUCUCUGUUGAGAAAGUAAAGUACAUGUUACACAUAUCUUUCAAGUGAAAAGUUUCUAGAAAGUUAUUGCAUUCAACGCCACAUUUUCAUAGAUUCGAAAUUUUGUAUAGACGCUAACAGAAAGUGGAUGGGCUACUGGAAAGGAAAGAGGCAGAUUUUGUGUUAUGGCUUGGGACAUAGGCAAGCUGAGAAUUGCGUAUGUAUACAGAGUUUCAACGAAUGAUAUUAAGAGUGGGCAUGCUUCUGCUCAUCCCUUUCUCAAUACAAUUGGUACCAAAGCCCUAUUCAAGUGGGCAUGUUUUGCCAGACUAUAGUAUUUGUAGGUGAAUAUGUUGGAGCUUUCUUACCAUCUGCAAGCAUAUGAAUGCGAACUUGUUCAUAAGGAGUUGUGGGAUUAUUGGAAGCCGAUUUUUGGUAACAUACUGGACUGAGAUGGAAAGCAUGCAUGCGUUUGUCUGGCGUUUAUAAUAGUGUUUGGUGGUUACUCCUCUCGACUGAUGUUUUUGAAGUUUUGUAUUGAGGUUCCUCGCCAGAGUUGACUAGCUGUAGUUCACACUUUUUGUGGUAAUUUAAUUUAAGCAACCAUAGUAAAAUU